rnacentral:misc_RNA from 1 species
UGGAAAGCGGAGGAGGGCGGAAUUGGCGGUGGCGGGACCGCUGGUAGCUGUUGGAGAAGGGAGUCAUGGUGUGGAGUGAAGUGAAGAAGAAGAAGAAGAAGAAGAAGAAUAGAAUUUUGGAACCCUAGAAGAAGAAAAAACCAUAGUCGGAUUGAAUUGCUAAGGAGACUGAUCGUAAUCUAGAUCAUCGCAGCGGUUCUCUCUCUUUUAGAUUU